rnacentral:rRNA from 1 species
AGGAUGAACGCUGGCGGUCUGCUUAACACAUGCAAGUCGAACGGAGUAGCAAUACUUAGUGGCGGACGGGUGAGUAACGCGUGAGAAUCUACCUUCAGGACGGAGACAACAGUUGGAAACGACUGCUAACCCCCGAUGUACCGAAAGGGCAAAUAUUUAUAGCCUGAAGAAGAGCUCGCGUCCGAUUAGCUAGUUGGAGAGGUAAAAGCUCACCAAGGCGACGAUCGGUAGCUGGUCUGAGAGGACGAUCAGCCACACUGGGACUGAGACACGGCCCAGACUCCUACGGGAGGCAGCAGUGGGGAAUUUUCCGCAAUGGGCGAAAGCCUGACGGAGCAAGACCGCGUGAGGGAGGAAGGCUCUUGGGUUGUAAACCUCUUUUCUUGGGGAAGAACAAAAUGACGGUACCCAAGGAAUCAGCAUCGGCUAACUCCGUGCUAGCAGCCGC